rnacentral:rRNA from 1 species
CCUACGGGAGGCAGCAGUGGGGAAUAUUGGACAAUGGGCGCAAGCCUGAUCCAGCCAUGCCGCGUGAGUGAUGAAGGCCUUAGGGUUGUAAAGCUCUUUUGCCAGGGAAGAUAAUGACUGUACCUGGAGAAUAAGCCCCGGCUAACUUCGUGCCAGCAGCCGCGGUAAUACGAAGGGGGCUAGCGUUGUUCGGAAUCACUGGGCGUAAAGCGCACGUAGGCGGACUUUUAAGUCAGGGGUGAAAGCCUGAGGCUCAACCUCAGAACUGCCCUUGAUACUGGGAGUCUUGAGUAUGGUAGAGGUUGGUGGAACAGCAAGUGUAGAGGUGAAAUUCGUAGAUAUUUGCUAGAACACCAGUGGCGAAGGCGGCCAACUGGACCAUAAACUGACGCUGAGGUGCGAAAGCGUGGGGAGCGAAACAGGAUUAGAUACCCUGGUAGUCCACGCCGUAAACGAUGGAUGCUAGCCGUUAGCCAGCUUGUCGUGGUAGGUGGCGGCGACGGUAACCGUUAACGUACACUCCCGCCGGGGACGGGUACGGUCGGCGAAGAAUUAAAACUAACAAAGAAGUAGACGCGNGAGAGNGCGACGACGACGACGAGGAGAGG